CGCGUCCUACUUGGGGUGGACGGUGGCGCUGCCAACGCGAGGCUACGGCGCGGGGAACGAUUUCGCGCGGGGGAGGAGGAGGAGGAGGAGGAGGGGGGCGGCAGGCCGGCGGCGGCGGGACGGAGGCGGCUCGGCGCUUUGUCCGCCCCGUUCGCCCCCCGCGCGGACAAUGAGCCCCCGCGGGCGCGCAGGGCCGCGGCGGGUGCCUUUGCGCCGAGAGCCCUCCUCCCUCCUCCUCCUCCUCCACCUCCUCGUCGUCGUCGCCCAGGACUUUUUAAAGUUUAAAGAGCACGGUUACAUAAAUCUGCCCGUCUUUGUCCGCCAGACAUUUUACUGGCGAGCGGAAAAACUGCGGGGCCGCGGCCGGCCGCCCCCCUGCGCCCUCCCCCGAGCGCGCCCGGCUUCCCGGAGAGCAUCUGGAGAGAGGGAGAGAGAGAGAAAGGGCGCGUUCAUGAGGACUACAAAGUUACAAAUAUGGCUCCCCAGUCUCUCUUGCCUGAUCACUGCAAAGAAAUGAAGACGCACUUUAAACUAAACCAUUUGCAACUCACUCACAGUCUCUGUCUGUCUCUCCCUGCCCAGCACCCAGUACAAAUAUUUGCAAACUAAACACGCCAGAGAGGAGCACCAACUUAUUUUUAUUUAAUGCACUGCAAGCCCCUUUAAUGCAUUGCACACCAGCCGAGUCAGGAGCAGCGUAUAGUUUCCCCCUCGACCACAACGCGUGCGCCUUCGGGCACCCCAAAUUGGGUGCACAGACACACACACACACACAGGUAGGCACCUCAAGGGCAGCAGCGGCCCCCGCGCCGGCUGGCACCUUCCCCACCGCCGUGCCCCCGCACCCCGGACCCCGCCGGGGUCUCGCUGCACCCCCCUCCCCCCCCCCCCCAAAAAUGUGGGAUGGAUUUUUUUUUUUUUUUUUUUUGCAUUGCUUACAUCUGAGGGCGUCCUGUUCCGCAGCUCUAAGUGGAUCCUUUUCUUCAUGUCCAUGUCCGCGGCUGGCAGGAGUGGCUCGCUGUCGCCGGCCCCGCUCGUGCACCGACACCGAUGGAGACCCCCCCAAAGCCAGCGCGGGGAGCGACUUUGAGGGCGCAACCAGCUCCGCUCGGAAUCCCGAGCCCCAGCACCGCGGCGAACACUAACCUGAUCGCUGCGGGGGCGGGCGCUCCCGCCUGACUGACGCCGGCGCCCGCCAACCGCCGCCGGCCGCAGCCGAGGGGGCGGGCCGAGCGGCGGCGGGAGCCAAUGGGGGAGCGGCGAAGCCGGCCAGGGGGACAGCCCGGCUGGGAGCGGAGGAUCAUUCCGUGCUGGUGGCUGCUGGGGAAGGAGCGGCGGCGGCUCCGCGCUGGGGAUGGGGCGCGCUCUCCCGUCGCCCCCCCCCUUCCCCCCCGCGCUCCCCCGCCUUCCGGAUCCUGGGGGAGGCGCCGAGGCGCGGGGCGGGGAGCGGCGCUAGAGCCGGCCGGGCAGGGGCGCGAAGCCAGGCGGGAGGGAAAGGCAGCUUUCCGAGAUGAGGUGCCAAACGCGCCCUGGCAGGACUCGCCGCCCGCGUCGAGGCCCGGAGCCGCCGGUGUCCCCGUGACGGCGAAGCCCCUCGGCCGCUGGGCUCGUCGGGCCUGGGGGACCGCUCGCCCCGCGCUUGGCAGGUGGCAGGCGUGAACACAAGUGGCCCUUGGGCUGAGGCUUCACAAAGGAAGGUUUGGUCUGGAGGUUUUAAUGGCACAGGCGAUGACCUUUGGAAAAAAGCUUUUAUCAUGGACACCAAGUAUCUGUAAGAAUUAACUAAACCAGCAUCAUUUAAAAAAAAAAAGUUUCUGAGAAUGCAGAAAUGUUUUCCUCUUCGAGAGCAAGUUGUAAGUUCAAAUUGUAUUUGAAUAUAUAAAGUUGUAUAAAGUUGUAAAUUGUUCUCCUCCAAAAUACUGAGUGAAAUUUAUUCAAACAAAAAAAAGUUUGAAGGUGUUGACUUCCUCUCUGCCCCAUGCAUGCACACGCUACUCUUAUUACAGGAAUUUUAGAAGUCUUGAAAACUGUUGGGAGAACUGAAAUGAAAGGAAAUGUUCCAAAGGCUAAAUAUCUAAGCAGCCCAUCACAGUGGUAAAUACAUUUUAAAUAACAUUUUUGUGGGUACAGCUUUCUUAAAAUAAUUUUUUAAAUCUCUGGUCAGUGAGUUAGUUAUUAGAUGUAGGAUAAAAGAAAAAGUAAAUCAGUUUAAAAGAUUGAUAUGAUUAUGCCAUUUAAAUUAAGGAUUCAGUUUUUUUCCUUUAAUAGGAGAAGAAACUGUUGCAUCUUGAUGAAGCAAAAUUAAGCCUUAGUUGAGGUAUUUUUUUAUUAUGCAUUUUCAUGAAUAAAGCUGUCAGCUCUAUCUGUUAUAGACAUCGUUAAUGGGAAACACUCUGUACUAGCAAAAUAUAUGGAAUUCUGUCUUGUCAGAGUCUUAACAGCUGGGCAGCAAAAGUUCUGCUUAUAGUGGUGGGAAACUACUUUUUAGUUUUCCCUGGUUAGUCUCCCAUUGGAAGAUGAAAAUAUUCUCCAUUCCUAUUGGUAUGUUCCGGCUUUUCAAACCUUGAGUAUAAAGAAGUUAAUGCUGUGAGUGUAAGAUUCACUACAGUUAAUGUUUGUUUUUGUACAUAGUUCCCAUAGUUGUCCAAUUUCCUCAUUAUUCAAAAUAAUCUGUAAAUAACUAUGUAGAUGUUGAAUUCUAAAUGCAGGUUUGCAUGUAGAAGCUGGCCAUCAUACUUCAGCAUCCUGGGCCAAAAUUUAAAAUAUUAAAAAUACUCAUUCUAAAAGAUAUUGAAGCUCUUCAGUUAUUGCCGGAACUGAAUUAGGUUUUCAAGUGCUUCUAUAUGAUUAUCUUUUAGAUAUGUUCUGAUCUAGCAUUAAGAGCUAUUUAGUGUUGCUGCUGGUUUGAUCAAUUAGGUGAUUUCAGGUCACUUCAUCCAGAAUUAGUAUUUUGCUACAUAGUUCUGUGCAUGCUUUCUGGUGGUGGAUGUUGUUUUUUAAACAUGAAAUACUGCAGUCUUACAUCAAGUUUUAUAUGAAGGUCAGCUGGACCCUAAGUAUAUGGUUCAUACUGUAGAAGCCAGUAGAAUUUCUCAUGUCAGAAAGUUACUGGGUAGUUGAACAUUUGCUGAAAUGAGCUCCUGACUGGCUUUUGUGGCUUAUAUCAGCUGAUCUACAAAGGAGUAUUAUUUGUCCCUACUGCAUCUAAACAAUGCGUUCCUUCAUUUUUUUGUGUAGCAUCUUCUUCAGUCAUUUCUUGUGUAUGUAGAUACGGUAGCUGGAAAGAGAAGACUCUGCUCUUAAAUUGCUGUUCUUCCUUGCCCUUACCCCCCAGUGUAGCUGGAUAAUUGGUCAUUAAGGGGAAUUUACAAUGAUAUUGAUCACAGGUAUCGAGGAAUGCUGGGGAAACGGAACAAAAAUGCGUGUAGGGAAACUAUAACUAAGUUUUCUGACAACACAAAUUUACACUCUGAGACCCUUAAAAUCAAUAUGGCAGUGCUAGAGACAGAAUGAAGAAAAAAAGGAAAAUAAAAAGCUGAAGUCUUUGGGCAAAUAAGCACUGGAGCUUAGCACCACUUUAAGAGGCUCAAAUGUUUGUACUGUGCCUUUUGUCUCUAGUUCACUUGUUUAAGUCUAUCCCAGGUCAAUACUGGUUAGCAAGGUACAAGCAGGAGGGUCAGAUUUAGAUCCAGAGAUGUUCUUGUCUGCUGUUAUUUGCUCAGAGUUUUUGAUGUAAUCAGUCCUUCGAGGGAGUUAGACAAGUUCAAAACAAUAUGAUUUCUAGUGCUGACUUCUGGGACUGGUAUAUAAUUGCUCUGACAUAUGAAUGAUUCCCAUUGGUUUCUGUAUUAAUUGCUUGCAAAUACGGCAUAGUUGUGUCAUAAUGUUCUAUUUUCUUGUUAUGUUUCAGAUAAGAGAAUAAUAUACAACUGGGAAGCUCAGAUAAGGAAUGCAGAAAGGUUAUUUAAAGCAAUAUAUAGAAUGGGAGGGAACUACUUUAACAAACUAGGUGAAGAAGGAAUUAAUUUGUAUAUGGAAUGAACUAAUAUACUGUAGUCUGUUCUGCAGAAAUACUCUUAAACUUGCAAGAUCAUAUAUAAGGAGGAAAUAAGAUACUCUGCACUAUUUUGAUUGUCAUCUCCCUGGCAUUCCAGAGGGAAAUACUGGCAAAAAAAGUACAGUGAAAGAGGGAUCCAUCCAGUGAAAAAAAAUGAGACAAGAUUCUGAUUUUUAUUUAUUAAUUUAUUUUAAGACCUAAGUCCACUACUGAGGAAUAGCAUGACUGAUUGUUUCAAGUUUCCUUUUGUUAUGCUUCAGGCUUUCUUGGAAAAAACAUUUUCUCUGCAUCUCAUUUUUCCCUCUCCAUAAUGUGGGGAUACUAUGUAAAAACACUCUAUUCAGUGAAAUUUAAGUAAAUAUGGGUAAAAAACAUUUUUCAGGAUUCUAUACAGAAGGCAGCAUGUUAAUGAAAAAUAUUUUUAAGUGAACGUAGCGUUACGAUAACAUUGCCUAGUCUUCCUACGUUUCUCAUUACAAUUUCCUACAUUUCUGUACACGUAGGUUAUUCUCUGGGCUAUAUGAGCUAGCAGUACUAUUUUGGGGGGGGGAUUUUUUGUUUGUUUGUUUUUUCCCUGUUCCAGCAACAGCACACCUUUCUACCUCGGGUGCCUAAGCUUUUUUGUGGAAGUAUUGUCACCACUGCCAGCUCAAGGCUAUCAGGGCUGUGUUUGGCUGUGGUGCUAGGGGUUUGCCAUCACUGGUUUAUUUCAUGUCACAUCCAUAGUGCCUAUUGGUAGUAUUCCGUGAUUUAGGAGAAGAAUGUGUACUUCAUCAGUUCUACAUUGAAGAUGUGUACCAGGAGGAAAUAAAGCAACGGUGUCAUCUCAGGUACUGGUUUCUCAGUCUAACAGUGCUCCUCCCAUUAAUUGUCUUUAGCAUGCAAUUAUACUAUUUCCAGUAAAUGUCAAAACUGCCCUUUUUUCCAGAGUUUAGUGUAGGAUGCUCUCUCUCUUUUCAUCUGCACAAUAUCAGGCAGGCCAGUGAAGCCUAAAAGUUCAUAAUCUUUAACAAAAGAAGGGAAGAAAUGAAGUUGCACAUGCUUUCGCUGGUCUGUAAGAAUAAACCGGUCAAUAUCUAUUUGUAAACCUUCCACAACUUGUACACCUUUUUUCUUUUUUAAAAAGUUUUCUGCAGUGUUUUGCACUACACCAUCUUUUUCCUAGUUUUCUGUUGUCAAAUAUGUUUUCUGUUUCCUGCCAAAACUGUUUGUUGUGCUUGUGGUGGACAAGAUUUGGAUUUAGGACAGGAUUUGGAUUUUUUUUUUUAAACAGAUGCAUUGUAUAUUGUCCCUUUUUGUGAAAAGAAUAUGUAAGAAUCUUCAUUAGAUUUAUCCUUUGAUGUUCUCUAGGUAACCAAAUCAUUCUUCAUGUAAAUUGGCAAAUUUCUUUGUAUUUCUUUUCUGAAGCAUUAAUCAUUUCAUUAUUAUGAAGAUAGGCUGAUGUCAUCACAGAUAAGUGCUUUUUCUAUGGCUGUGAUACUUUAUAUCAUUAUCAUAAAGAUUCCCCUACAGAGUUUAACCAAUGAAAAACAUUUAUGUGGUUAGUGAAGAGCAACAGUUCCGGAUUUCUGUAUACAUAUUGCAUAUCUUGUAACUGAGUAUUUGGCUAUUCUCACUGCUGUUGAUCUUCCAGGCCUGUGAAUGUAGCUGAAGCUAAAAUAGUCUUAUGGUUUAACUAGGACUUCAAAAAAAACUCUAAGCAAUAUUUGACUGGUUCUACUCUAUCUGGGGAGGGGGGGCGGAAAUGUACUUACAGGUUUUAUAUCUUACGCAAUGGUUAGGUUUUGUUCCUUUGAGGUACUUUCACUGAAUCAGAGUGUAUAUCUUGCUUAUACUCAAAAUAAGAAGCACCUACUGUAGAAAGGGUGUAUUGUACUAAACUUGCCGUGGUAGAUGUGAGUGCUUUCAAGUCUGACAGUUUAAGUAGUGAAGAUGAAAGUGAGGACAGUUCUUGGGCAGGGGACUUCAAGAGGAAUGUGAUUCAUAGGACACAGUUACCAGCGUAAUUACCAGUGCAGCUGCUGUAGUAACUUCUGCCAGUACUUAAAAAAAUCUGUCAUGUCCAAUGCUCUAUUGGUUGUAGUGUGAGUGAUAAAGAUGGGAGCAGCAGAAGUGUAAUAUCUUGUUCCACUUGCCAGCUUCAAACCUGUCUGAGCGAGUGGAGCUAUUUCUGCUAAGUUCGAAACUGACAUCAAAGCUUUGCAGGAUUUCCUGGAGUGUUGGGCUGCACUGAAAUUUUAGAAUUGGAGAUGGCAAGAUUUGUUUUGCUUUGUGUUUUCUAUAAAUAAAAACAAAAGGGCUGAGAUUCAGGUGGACUGAAUUUUUUUGAUAAUUAGUCAAAUUUGGCAAAUAAAUUAAGGCAAGAAAUAAAGAACCUUAAAUAUAAACACCAUUAUGGCACUUUGAAUACAUGAUGUUUUAUUUCAGUAGUACAUUUAUUUCUGUAUUGUAAUGAAUAGGAGUUUUCACCUUUUUUUAUGAUGAUACUUUCUAUUUGUCACUUCCUUAAAAUGUAGGUCAAACUUUUGAAGUAUUAAUAUUUUUUUUCCGAUUGUGUUGAGUGAAAGAUUUCAGAUCUGUUCCAAAAUAGAAUUUGGGGGUAAAGAGAUCUUGGAAAAAAAGGAGGGGAGGGAGGAAAUAGUCUGCUAGACCCAGGCUGCUUUAAUACACAUUUUUAGUUCAAAUGAGAAAAAAUAUGGGGGGGCACUUUUGAAAGCAAAUAUAAAAAUAUUUUUAUAUUUUCUCUCAUUAACAUAUCAUGCAUCCUCAACACUCAUGUUUCCAGCACACUAAAGAUAAGUGCAACUUCUGCUUAAGGUGAAUUGCCAAAAGUUGUACAACAGGGUAGCAUUAAAGAUGGCUCUAGAAUUAAGGAACUCUGAAUUUUAUAGGCAGAGCAGAUCUAUUUGACUGUCUAGCCCCUGCAUCUGCAUUAACAUCAUAAAAUUUCAUCUGUGCAAUAGAAAUAGUUAUUCACGCGCACAUACGCACAUGCGCACACAUACACGGAAACCUUCCCGAUUUCAUUGUCUUCCUCAUACUCUUCAAGGAAUUGCACGGUCUUGCUCUUCUCAGCCUUUCACUUGUCUGUCACUUUAUUUUGUCAUCUCCACCUCCCGUUUCUUAAGAAUUUACCUCCUUUAUUUUGUUUGGCAUUCUUGAGUAAAGGCUUUGGCAGCCUGAUUCAGGAGAGAGGUAAAUAGGAGUCAAGAGUUCCUGUAUACCAGGUUAUCACAAGAUUGUUACUUGUUUCGUGAAAAUAGUCUGUAAACAUUCCCGACUUGUUUCCCCCGUUGAUUGCUGUAGUACAAUUCUUACAGACUUAAAUUCAAGCAGAAUAUCGAUCCUACAGUAAAACUCUAGAACUGAGCUGUGCUAUAGAGCAAGAAGACUCCCUGUGCUCCUCCGAACACUUCCCAGCUGCAGACAGAAUGGUGGUAAGUCAUUUAGCUCAUCUGUAGCUUUCACAUGUCUGACAUAUAUAUGUAUGCACUGGGGCUCAGCCCUAAUAAAGUGACCUUUUUGUGGAA